GCAGUGUAGUAUAAUGGUCAGGGAACUGGGCUUGUAACCCAAAGGUUACAGGAUUGAUUCCUGUAGUGCC
rnacentral:tRNA from 1 species